ACGGCGAUCUACUUCAGGAUCGCUUCAGGAGACGGCGCCGCGAUCCCGUUAAGGAGACGCCGGCGCCCAGGAUCCGAUGGCGAUCCCCUUCUGGACACGCACAUCCUCUCGGCCGGCGCUGAUCCCCGUUCAGGAGGUUCUCGAAGUCCGCCCUCUCAUUGACAGGGUGAAAGUUGUGGAAUUUUUGCUUUAACUGCCUGGAGUAAGAUGACAGGACAUACAAAGAUGCAUUCAAGUAGUUACUGAAAGCAAUCUGAGGACAAAGCUUUGAUUGUUGUUGUAGUUGAAGAUUCAGAGUUGCAAGGCAGGCACAGUUAACAGGGAUAAGAAACUAUAGAAGAUUUAUCAAACCAGAUAU